UCAUCCGUCCCCCAGUGAGGCCCCCAGACCCUCCCUGCCGGGCGGCUACUCCCCAGAAGCCAGAACCAAAGCCAGAUAUUGUGGCUGGCAAUGCAGGGGAAAUCCCAUCAUCCAUGGUGGCUUCCAGGACCAGGUUUUUUGAAACGGCUUCCCGGAAAACAGGAAGUUCUCAAGGCAGACUUCCUGGAGAUGAGAGUUGAGGCCACAGGUUCUAAAAGCCUUGGCCUUGGGGGACCCUUUCCAGGUUCUUCAAACCCUGUGUGCAGAGUCAUUUUGUGCUGAAGAGCAGCUCCUUUCUGGCCCUGCACCUUCAGGCUCUGGGAGGCCAUAAAAUAAGAGGCACAUGUUCUAGACACAUGUCUAUUUUUUCUUUAUAUUCUGUCUUCAUCUCCUCAGAAGGUCUAUCUUGAGCUCCUGUAACACUGUGAAUGGCUGGACUCCCUCAAUCGAGACUCUGCUGAGACCAAGAUAUUCACUGACCUGAGUUGAAGAGGGAAAGCCAGUUUUCAACUCUUCUGUGAACUUCCUGCUUCCUUAAAAGGCCAUCAAACUUUGAAAGAUUUGGGGCAGAAGACCAAUCUCAAGGGUUUACCCUGAAGUAAACGCCACUUGAGUUGGGGCCAUUGCUUGCCUGGUUGAAGAGGAGUAGGAAUGUUUGCCAAACAUUGGAGAAUCUUAACAUGUCUCUUACUGAGGAUAUGGACACUGGUGCCAGACUGGCACUCUGAUGCCGCAAUAUGUUGCCAAGAGUCUGUCUGCUCCCGUGGGGCCAGACAGCAUGGUGAUGCCCCAUAAGCCCUCCAUGUGGACUUUAGAAGAUGGUUUUUGCAUACAGCUACUUAGGACAAAUCUACAAAGCACAUUUUGUAUGUCAAAUCCUAGAUCUCUUUGGAUUAUUCUUCCUCCUGUUUUCUCUCGACAGCUUCCUUUAAAAGCAAUCAAGAAAAAAACAAAAGCUCAAAAUAUUUCUUUAAAAAAGACAGACUGUUUGUCCUGUAGGAGUUCCAUUUUUGGGUCAAAUGCUGGGAAAAAUUGUUAAGAUGGAUUGAAGCCAGGCAGCUAUCACUGUUGCUUCAUGUUUGCCUUCUGCAGAUAAGCUCUUUUAUCUCCUGAAAGAGGUAGUUCUUAACCCACUGUCCAUGGAUUCAGGAACUCCCUGAUGCCCCUGAGAUGGUAUGCAGAAUUCCAUGACAAUAUACCUUUUCUGGGGAGAUAGUCUAUAACAUUCUACUGAAUUUCAUAUGGGCCUGUGAGCCAAU